AUAUAUAUAGUGUAGUCAUAUAUUGACUCAACAACUGCAGAACUCCAACUGUUUUCCUUAAAGCAAGUUUGCACUGUAAUUUAACUUACUUUACAAUAUAUAUUUUAAGAACAUGAAACUGAAGAUCGUUGUUCUCCUUCUACUGGUAUGUCUCGCGACUCUUGUUGUUAUAUCAGAGAGUUGUGGUUCUGGUAGCAAAGAAAGUGACAAAAAUUUAAUGCCAUAAUAACAGCAAUGAUGUGGAUGACCAAUGCAAGCAUGCAUAAAAUCAUAAAGUGAAUGCCAUAUUUUGCCCCUUUUUCGUUUUGUUUUUCUUCUUUUUGUUUAAAUAAUAAUAAACAUUUCCAUUUGCAA